GCAUAACGAAUAAACAGUGCAUUGCUUAUUCAUGAUCAUGAAGUACUGUUUUCAAGGCUGCAGUGUUUGUCUUAUGUGAAAACAUUAAUACUGAUCAUGGAUGUUGUUGUAACAUUACUUUCAGGUUUUCAUGCUUUCAUACUUGGAUCGAAACAUGCCUGUAAGGCACAGAAUCAAAGAAUGAGCGAAGUCCAGGGCAGAAGAAGGGGAGAGAGUAACCUAUACCAGAGGGAACAAAAUACCACUGCAAUCUUUGCCAGUGACAGCCACGCUGCGGUCGCCCACCUUGCCCUCUAAAUGAGAUCCUAUUUACAAGAUCUCUCAGAGCUCCGGAAGUGCCAUCCAGAAAUAUUUCGGUAGGAAAAUAUAUCAAUAAUCACAAAAGUUAAAACUUGGAC
rnacentral:lncRNA from 1 species